rnacentral:lncRNA from 1 species
AGAUGUGGUGGAAGCCAUGAUCCAAUCGUUGUUGAAAGAGGGCACGGUGAUUAGUAAUGCCUUUGGCUUACUUCCCUGCAAGAAGAACCCGGCCCCUGCUGUGAGUCACCAACCUCAAUGAAUACCCUUUACUAUAUUACAUCUUGCUUUUACUCAUAAUCCCUUAUCAUCUUUCACAGGUCGAUGACAACUUCUGGAAGGUCAAAUAUGACCAUGAGGCGACCAAACAAGCCAGAGCGGCAAAGAGAGCUGAAAGGAAAGCCGCCAAAACAGGAACUUCAAGGAAGAAGAGGCCAAGCGCUUUGGAUUUGCUCAAAUUGGAUGACACUUCUAAUGAAGAAGAGG